AAUUAAAAGGUCAUCAUAGAUUUCUUUCUGGUCACUCAACCUAUUCGAACAAAGGCAUGCUGAAGGAUAUUGCGCUAUGUGUGACAUUUUUGGAGCACGCACUGACAAGAAAGUUAUGAACUUUCCCUUUGGUUUCCAUUUUAUAAAGGCAAUUCUCUUUCUUGUGGGCUGUCCCGCAUGCUUGAGAAUUUUUUUAAAUUUGUUUCGAGAACUUACAAGUUCUCCAAACCAGAGCAAGUUUAUCAAUAUCACAUCUAUUUCCAAGGUCAGUGCUACCUACGUGGCCAUUUUGUUAUUUUUAUUUUCAUCCACACUGUGUACCAACCUAAACACUUCUGGAAAAGAUGAUUUAAUAUAAAAUAUCAUGUUUUCUGUGUGACACUAAUUGUCCAAAUUGUUUUGUAUAGGCAAUUCAUGAUUUUCUUAUUUUCAGGUCAAAAAUAAUUCUACUAUUGAUGGAAUUGAUUAUUUCAUAACUGACACUUUUGGUGAGGUGCUGUACGAAUCUUACAAGGAUGUAUAAUUUGGUACUAUGAAUACCAAAGUUAUAGACUUCAUCGGUGCAGGUGCUAAAAAUUUUGAGGGUAAAUUGUCUAUUCCCUGGUUCCUAACUUUUAAUAUGUGCAUAUGUGAAAAGAGGUCUGCAUGUCUUUACCCGACCAUCUCAGUAAGUGUAGUUUUUGGCUUUAUGAUACCAUUUUCAGGAGGGCCUAUUGCAUUUGGUUGAAGAGGUUAUACGUAUACAAACACAUUUUAACCGGCAGUUGUUUUCUAUUUUUUAUAGAGAAAGAAAGAGAAUUAGGGUGAUGUGGAUAACAAUAUGGUAUCUUUCAUCUAGUUUGUUAUUUGAAUAUUAUACUGACACUUGAUUUGGCAGAGUGGUAUGUGUUUAUUGGAAGGCAAGCACCACUUGUUGUUCCAGGAUAUCCUCGUGCAAUUAAUUUUAGACCAACUGCUCCUGAGUCAUCUGGAAUGAAACCUAUCAACGUGUCUACAUAUUCAUGCGGUGAUACAUCACUAGGCUGUUCAUGUGGUGAUCGCUCUUCAUCUUUUGUUUGCUUAAGUACAACUCCCCCUCUUACGCAGAUAGAAGGCUCUUGUUCAGUGAGAAUUGGGUCUCUGAAGGUGAAAAGAGGCCAAUUGUAUUGGGUCACAUUAUAUAUUUGCUUCAAUAAUUUAUACACAUGACGUGUCAGAUUGAAUUUCAUCUUUAAGAAUAACUUGUAAAAUUUGUCUUUGUUGCAUUGUUACAAUAGCAAGAAAUGUCACAAUUCUGUAUGUUGUACUAGUCUCCGUUUUUCUUGGGUGGGGCUUUCUCCAUAAAAAAAAGAAGAGACUCCAGUUUCCAGAGCAAAGCCAUUGAUUAGUAGCAUCAGUGCCACUGAAAAUGGUGUCAUCAGUGCCACUGGAAAUGGUGUCAUCCGCCAAAGCAGCAGAUGCUUGAAGAGGGCCCUCAAAUUUCAAGUGGUGUUCAACUCUAUAUUGUACAAGGAUAUAUGCCAAAGUUCUAUAGGUGAUUCACUAUGAUUUUAAUCAUUUAUAAGCAUUGAUUGGACGAGUAUUGUUCAUCCUGAAUGAAGUAUUUAUGUAAAUAAUCCCCCCUUUCCAGGAAAUAUGGAACAUGGGUGGCUAGAAAUCCAAUCCUUCUAUUGUGUUUAUCGUUUUUCAUUUUAAGUUGAGACAAGG